GCACCAGGUGAGACCCCCCUGGGACAGGUGAGACCCCCCUGGGACAGGUGAGACCCCCCUGGGGCAGGUGAGACCCCCCUGGGGCAGGGACAGGGCUGGG